rnacentral:rRNA from 1 species
GAUGAACGCUGGCGGCGUGCCUAAUACAUGCAAGUCGAGCGAACAGACGAGGAGCUUGCUCCUCUGACGUUAGCGGCGGACGGGUGAGUAACACGUGGAUAACCUACCUAUAAGACUGGGAUAACUUCGGGAAACCGGAGCUAAUACCGGAUAAUAUAUUGAACCGCAUGGUUCAAUAGUGAAAGACGGUUUUGCUGUCACUUAUAGAUGGAUCCGCGCCGCAUUAGCUAGUUGGUAAGGUAACGGCUUACCAAGGCAACGAUGCGUAGCCGACCUGAGAGGGUGCUCGGCCACACUGGAACUGAGACACGGUCCAGACUCCUACGGGAGGCAGCAGUAGGGAAUCUUCCGCAAUGGGCGAAAGCCUGACGGAGCAACGCCGCGUGAGUGAUGAAGGUCUUCGGAUCGUAAAACUCUGUUAUUAGGGAAGAACAAAUGUGUAAGUAACUAUGCACGUCUUGACGGUACCUAAUCAGAAAGCCACGGCUAACUACGU